AGCGAACGCUGGCGGCAGGCCUAACACAUGCAAGUCGAACGAACCUUUCGGGGUUAGUGGCGGACGGGUGAGUAACACGUGGGAACGUGCCUUUAGGUUCGGAAUAACUCAGGGAAACUUGUGCUAAUACCGAAUGUGCCCUUCGGGGGAAAGAUUAAUCGCCUUUAGAGCGGCCCGUGUCUGAUUAGCUAGUUGGUUGAGGUAAUGGCUCACCAAGGCGACGAUCAGUAGCUGGUCUGAGAGGAGGAUCAGCCACAUUGGGACUGAGACACGGCCCAAACUCCGACGGGAGGCAGCAGUGGGGAAUCUUGCGGAAUGGGCGAAAGCCUGACGCAGCCAUGCCGCGUGAAUGAUGAAGGUCUUAGGAUUGUAAAAUUCUUUCAGCGGGGACGAUAAUGACGGUACCCGGAGAAGAAGCCCCGGCUAACUUCGUG
rnacentral:rRNA from 1 species